rnacentral:rRNA from 1 species
GACGAACCGUGCAAACGUUGUUCGGAAUCACUGGGCUUAAAGGGCGCGUAGGCGGCAGACCAAGUCCGGGGUGAAAUCUUUCGGCUUAACCGGAAAAGGGCCUUGGAUACUGGUUUGCUCGAGGGAGGUAGGGGUCUGUGGAACUUCUGGUGGAGCGGUGAAAUGCGUUGAUAUCAGAAGGAACGCCGGUGGCGGAAGCGACGGACUGGAUCUCUUCUGACGCUGAGGCGCGAAAGCCAGGGGAGCAAACGGG